CUACCCAACCCACAUUUCUUUCCUUUUCCACUAAACCCUAUCUUUCUCUCUCUAUCCCCCUUCCCAGCCGCAACCCACCCUAACAUCUCUCUCUUCCUCCCAUCCCUCUCACUCACUCACCCACUCAGCUUCCUAUUUCCCUCUCGUCAACGGCGAAGGAGACAGUGACUAUGAAGUGGGGUGGGGUGGCGAAGUGAUCAAUGUGACGUCACGAUGACUCUCGAUCGGCUACCUCUUCAUCUCUUGGUAACUCUCUCUUUCUCUCUUAUUCUCUGUUGUUGCGCAGGUGGCGGGCAUGGGUGUGUGGUGGUGCGAUGGGGCUUGCCUAGGUAGUGGUGUCCAGCGUGGGUGGUGGUGCGAUGGGGCUGUGGUUGUGGUGUUGUCGUGGGUUGUAGCUGUUUCAGGGAACAGGGAAUAUCACAGGACUGACUUUUAAGUGGAUGUCUAGAUUUAUUAGAAAGAAUAUUGACAAAAGAAAUAUGAUUGAGUUUGUAGUGAUUUGGAGAAGAGAAUUAUGUUGUCUUGUUGAAAUUUAUUGUAUUAUAUAUUUUGAACUUUAUGGAUUUAUAAUAUUAUAAUGAAUUUUUAUUGAGAA